rnacentral:tRNA from 1 species
GCCUGAGUGGCUCAGUCGGUUGAGCAUCCAACUUCGGUCAGAUCAUGAUCUCGUGGCUUGUGGGUUCGAGCCCCGCAUCAGGCU